rnacentral:tRNA from 1 species
GUAUUGGCGGUUCAGGGGUAGAAUUCUCACCUUCCAUGUGGGAGAUCCGGGUUCAAUUCCUGGCCAGUGCA